rnacentral:rRNA from 1 species
AGAGUUUGAUCCUGGCUCAGGACGAACGCUGGCGGCGCGCCUAACACAUGCAAGUCGAACGAGCGAGAGAGAGCUUGCUUUCUCGAGCGAGUGGCGAACGGGUGAGUAACGCGUGAGGAACCUGCCUCAAAGAGGGGGACAACAGUUGGAAACGACUGCUAAUACCGCAUAAGCCCACGGGUCGGCAUCGACCAGAGGGAAAAGGAGCAAUCCGCUUUGAGAUGGCCUCGCGUCCGAUUAGCUAGUUGGUGAGGUAACGGCCCACCAAGGCGACGAUCGGUAGCCGGACUGAGAGGUUGAACGGCCACAUUGGGACUGAGACACGGCCCAGACUCCUACGGGAGGCAGCAGUGGGGAAUAUUGCACAAUGGGGGAAACCCUGAUGCAGCGACGCCGCGUGGAGGAAGAAGGUCUUCGGAUUGUAAACUCCUGUUGUUGAGGAAGAUAAUGACGGUACUCAACAAGGAAGUGACGGCUAACUACGUGCCAGCAGCCGCGGUAAAACGUAGGUCACAAGCGUUGUCCGGAAUUACUGGGUGUAAAGGGAGCGCAGGCGGGAAGACAAGUUGGAAGUGAAAUCCAUGGGCUUAACCCAUGAACUGCUUUCAAAACUGUUUUUCUUGAGUAGUGCAGAGGUAGGCGGAAUUCCCGGUGUAGCGGUGGAAUGCGUAGAUAUCGGGAGGAACACCAGUGGCGAAGGCGGCCUACUGGGCACCAACUGACGCUGAGGCUCGAAAGUGUGGGUAGCAAACAGGAUUAGAUACCCUGGUAGUCCACACCGUAAACGAUGAUUACUAGGUGUUGGAGGAUUGACCCCUUCAGUGCCGCAGUCAACACAAUAAGUAAUCCACCUGGGGAGUACGACCGCAAGGUUGAAACUCAAAGGAAUUGACGGGGGCCCGCACAAGCAGUGGAGUAUGUGGUUUAAUUCGACGCAACGCGAAGAACCUUACCAAGUCUUGACAUCCUGUGACAGACGUAGAAAUACGUUCUUCCUUCGGGACACAGAGACAGGUGGCGCAUGGUUGUCGUCAGCUCGUGUCGUGAGAUGUUGGGUUAAGUCCCGCAACGAGCGCAACCCUUAUGGUCAGUUACUACGCAAGAGGACUCUGGCCAGACUGCCGUUGACAAAACGGAGGAAGGUGGGGAUGACGUCAAAUCAUCACGCCCUUUAUGACUUGGGCUACACACGUACUACAAUGGCGUUAAACAAAGAGAAGCAAGACCGCGAGGUGGAGCAAAACUCAGAAACAACGUCCCAGUUCGGACUGCAGGCUGCAACUCGCCUGCACGAAGUCGGAAUUGCUAGUAAUCGUGGAUCAGCAUGCCACGGUGAAUACGUUCCCGGGCCUUGUACACACCGCCCGUCACACCCUGAGAGCCGGGGGGACCCGAAGUC